AAAGAAUUUAUUAUACCUGCUGUAUUCGGAUAAUUUGUCACAGAACGGUAUUCGGAAUCCGUACAAAUUCUUACCACACCAUUUGGUUCAAUCUAUAAAGAACGAUGAUGGUUAUAUGUACGUAGUCGUUAUUAAUUUCGUAUUACAUAAUUACGAUGUAAGUUUUCUGCCUCGGCUAAACGCAUGCAUAAAUUUCGUUAAUUUAUCGUGACAAUAUUCUAUCCGUAUACGAUGAAUAUUAAACAUACGAGAACAAGGUAAUUUAACAACAGACUCGUUUUCUCUGGGUCGUGACAUUUAGAAAAAUCCUAAGUCAUCUCUGAGAAAUUAAAGAUAGCACAC
rnacentral:misc_RNA from 1 species